UCUGCCCUCAUAUGUGCCGUGAAUCUGUGAUAUACUAGCAUAAUAUAUGUGUUUGAUACUUACAUGCUUCCACUCCUUCUGAUAUUGAAUCUAUUACAAUCGAACUUUGCUUCAACCAUUUGCAUUCAUGCUUGGAUCACUUACAUUUUUGCAUAAGGCGAUGUCAGUUUUUGCUUCUUAUUGUUCCCACUGUUGUUUUAGAAAUUGAUACAACCACUACUACUAGGCAAUGUGCAUCUCUUGGCUUCAACACAUCCAUCCAUGAUUCAUCUGACAACGACUGUGACAACGAUUGCCGUAUCAUAGCUUGCGAGGACGACGAGCUUGAAGCGUAGCCACAUGUACUAGCUUCGUCGUGGAAUGAAAGAGCUCGAUGUUAUUGAUCUUGACAGCAUAUUAUGCUUCAGCUUACUGUGCUUCCUUGUACUGCUUAUAAACAAUAUUGAUACUGACUGUAUAUUAUUUUUCACUUUCAUGUGCUUCUUGUGUUCAUAGUUGUGCUUCGUCAAGGUUUUCAGAUUGCUAUGUUAUAGAGGCAUCAUGAAGGAGGCUGAGUUCGAGCACCUGUUCAAGAGUCGAUUGUAGCAUGACGGUUGAAUGAUGCAUGGCACGAGUAGUAUAUGCAUUGCCUCAUCGAUGCAAGCCUCGUGGUCAUAAAGUAGUGCAAUGACGAGAGAACAAUCGACCCGUGGUCUAGUACUGUGUCGGCAACUAAGCAAAUUGUCCCCGUCCAGCAAUGGCGGAUGCUCGCAUUAUUCUCCUUCAGCAAAAUUCCUUGUAGAAACCACAUAAUGCGUUCAUUGGGAGCAUCUUUUUAUUCGUGAAUUUGGCAUGAGUGUGUAGGAAGAAAAUAGAAGAGUACAUGGAAACAUAGAAUAUUAUGAACUGAAAUUUAAAUACUUAUGAAGCAUUGUUCUAAUUGACCAGAAGCGUGUAUUAAUCUUGUUGUAAGUAUAGUUGAUUGGUGGUUGCAUA